GAACAUGAGAGUUUGAUCCUGGCUCAGAACGAACGCUGGCGGCAUGCUUAACACAUGCAAGUCGAACGCUUGUCUUCGGGCAAGAGUGGCGCACGGGUGAGUAGCGCGUGGGAACCUGCCCUCUUGUGGGGGAUAACUGCGGGAAACUGCAGCUAAUACCGCAUAAGCCCAGGGGUAACUCUGGGGAAAGAUUUAUCGCGAGAGGAGGGGCCCGCGUCGGAUUAGCUUGU
rnacentral:rRNA from 1 species